UACGUAGGGUGCAAGCGUUGUCCGGAUUUAUUGGGCGUAAAGAGCUCGUAGGCGGUUAAGAAAGUCAGGUGUGAAACCUCCAGGCUCAACCUGGAGACGCCACUUGAUACUUCUUUGACUUGAGUCUGGUAGGGGUAAACGGAAUUCCUGGUGUAGCGGUGAAAUGCGCAGAUAUCAGGAGGAACACCGAUGGCGAAGGCAGUUUACUGGGCCAGUACUGACGCUGAGGAGCGAAAGCGUGGGGAGCGAACAGG
rnacentral:rRNA from 1 species